GGGGGGGGGGGGGGGGGGGGCGGGGGGGUGGGGGGGGGGGGGAGGGACGGGGAGGUGGCUGCGCGGACGUGAGCGGCGGACGGGUGGGGAGCACGUGGAUAACCUACCUAUAAGACUGGGAUAACUGCGGGAAACCGGAGCUAAUACCGGAUAAUAUAUUGAACCGCAUGGUUCAAUAGUGAAAGACGGUUUUGCUGUCACUUAUAGAUGGAUCCGCGCCGCAUUAGCUAGUUGGUAAGGUAACGGCUUACCAAGGCAACGAUGCGUAGCCGACCUGAGAGGGUGAUCGGCCACACUGGAACUGAGACACGGUCCAGACUCCUACGGGAGGCAGCAGUAGGGAAUCUUCCGCAAUGGGCGAAAGCCUGACGGAGCAACGCCGCGUGAGUGAUGAAGGUCUUCGGAUCGUAAAACUCUGUUAUUAGGGAAGAACAAAUGUGUAAGUAACUAUGCACGUCUUGACGGUACCUAAUCAGAAAGCCACGGCUAACUACGUG
rnacentral:rRNA from 1 species